UCGCACCAACCCAUAAUUUUUUCCGACGAGACCUCCUUAUAUAGUUGCUUUAUGCUUACGGCUACAGCUUUUGGAGGGGGUAAAUUAGUUAGACUAAGUGCAUGCUGCACAGAGCAAAAAUUUGAUUUAAAGUUGAAAGACAUAAUUAAUGUGCGCAUAGAGAAUAUAUAAAAAACGUUGUGAAAAUUCUGCAAAUAUAAAAGGGAACAUAGAUCCCAGAAAAACAAUCUGAAAAGUUUGGUGGCUGCAGCGAAACAAAAAAAUAACAAACCCUGGAUAAGGUACGCAAAGAAUUAAUGGAAAAAGUAACCUUAUUACAUAAUCUCAUGUAUAUACAUAUAAAUAGGUUAUGAACCACGUGGGGCAGUAUAACUGCUGACCUGGCCGAUCUGGGCCUGACCAUCGCUCUCGGACGUGGUCCACUCCAACAUCACGAUCAUCAGUCCCAUCAUUUUUUUGCUACAGCGAUCUCCUCAGUCUCUCCUAUCGAAAUCAUUAUAUAUAUAUAUUUUUCAAAGACAAAACUGUAAAUAACUAUACAAAAAAAAAAUUUUUUUAAUUCAAAGCGUUAAAAUUAAAUGAAGAUAAUAAAGUUUUACGGGUCUAUGCGAACAUUCAUCGAGAAUAGGUAGGUAAUACAGCCGAUUACUAAUCCAGAUACAAAGGAUUCUAAGAAAAAAUACUUAAGCGGACGAUAAUAGCCUGGCGCCAAUGUAUCGUAUCCAGCGAAUAUCUACAAACUAU
rnacentral:lncRNA from 1 species